GGGUAGAUAGCCUAAUGGUUAGCAGCCCUAUGUAGAACUAGAAGGUCAUGGGUUCGAUUCCCAUUAGGUCCU